rnacentral:pre_miRNA from 1 species
AUCAUACUCCCUCCGUCCCAAAAUUCUUGUCUUACAUUUGUCUAGAUACGGAUGUAUCUAACACUAAAAUGUAACUAGAUACAUCCGUAUUUAGACAAAUCUAAGACAAGAAUUUUGGGACGGAGGGAGAAUUUA